rnacentral:lncRNA from 1 species
GCCAGCUUUCUCAUCUCACAAGGCGGUGGGGGUGGUUUUGUUGUAAUGUGGCCCCGGCAGGCUGAGUUCCAGAUUUCUGGUUCAUCUGCCUCCGAGGUGCCAAAGGAAGAAACAGAGGCCCAGAGACUGAAAGGGAGAUGCUCCUGUGCACAGCUGUUGACUCAAUCCCAGAGUCUGGACCUGGGAGUUCGGUGACAAGUUAUGCCUGACGCCAGAAGAUUUACAGCAAAGGAGGAAGCAUUGCAGACAAGUAAGUGAUGGCUUACACAUCCCAUCUCCGACCUUCUGGAAGUUUUGUCCUCUUCUGGCCUUUGAGAUGGAAAGCUAGAGAUGGUUCCCCAAGAUCGAACUCAGGUCAGCAAGCUUGAUGGAAAGUGCAUUUACCCUCUGAGUCAUCUGACAGGCACUAUUAAAUUUUGUAAAAAGGGC